rnacentral:misc_RNA from 1 species
GCCAGUUCAACUUCUGGCGAUGUGAGAAGACAACCCAUGGAGGGUAAUACUUGGCCGGAAGGAGCUUCUUUGUAUCUUCAAGUGUCAUUCUGGAGAAAGCCAUCACUGCCUCAGCCAGCGAGCUCCGCUGCCUCUGCCGCGUGUUCUCCGAUCGGACAUGAGCGAUGAUCAUCCCGAUCCCGAAGGCGAUCCCCAGCACCAUGCCGAUGAAGAACGACAUCGUCGCUCCAAAACCCUAGGAGCGG